rnacentral:lncRNA from 1 species
CUCCGCUCUAUCAGAAGGAUGUCCAGUAUUUGGUUGUGAUACAAUCUUAUAAGUGCUAGUAUCUAUAGGCUCGUCUUGAAUCACUAAGUUAUCUUCUUUAUUAUAUUCAUGUACUUCUUCAACCACGAGAGGUGGCCCAUCAUUUUGUUCACCAAUAGCCGCUACAAUCUCAUCUAACCCGAGAUCGUUAUUAUCAUCGUCAUCAUAGUUCAUGUCAUCACCAUUCCA